GAAAAUAAAAGACAUGAAAAGAUAGAAAAAAUAGAAACAAAAGCAAUGACCGUAAAGCGUAACAAGCAAAGGCAAAGGCGUGAACGAGCACAGCUGGCAUAACCUAUAGCUUAGCUGCAAAUGACUCUCAUCUUAAAAGUGAAUCAAGUGCAGCAAGGCUACAUUCAGGAAAGUUCUAAUUUGCGGCUCUAUUAAGGAAAAGGUCAAAAAGCGUGAAAUACAUCUGUACACUCUUCCAAGCUUUUGCACUAAUUAUCGAGGCACUUUU